rnacentral:rRNA from 1 species
UACAGAGGAGCCAAGCGUUGUCCGGAUUGACUGGGCGUAAAGCGCACGCAGGCGGACGCGCGCGUGGGGUGUGAAAUCUGGCCGCUUAACGGCCAGGCGCCAUCCCAUACGGCGCGUCUGGAGUGAUGCAGAGGUCGAUGGAAUUGCCGGUGUAGUGGUGAAAUGCGUAGAGAUCGGCAGGAACACCCAGGGGGAAACCAGUCGACUGGGCAUCUACUGACGCUGAG